GAGCAGUGUGUGUGUGUGAAGGUUGCAGUGUGUGAGUGAGGGCUGCAGUAUAUGUCAUGGGUGCAGUGUGUGUGUGUUAGGGGGGCAGUGUAUGUGUGGGUCAGUAUUUGUGUGUGACAUUUGCAGUGUGUGUGUGUGUGUGUGUGUGAGGAUUGCAGUGUAUGUGUGAGUGUGGGGCAAUGUGUGUGUAUGGGGGGCAGUGUAUGUG